AUGAACGCUGGCGGCGUGCCUAAUACAUGCAAGUCGAGCGAACAGACGAGGAGCUUGCUCCUCUGACGUUAGCGGCGGACGGGUGAGUAACACGUGGAUAACCUACCUAUAAGACUGGGAUAACUUCGGGAAACCGGAGCUAAUACCGGAUAAUAUAUUGAACCGCAUGGUUCAAUAGUGAAAGACGGUUUUGCUGUCACUUAUAGAUGGAUCCGCGCCGCAUUAGCUAGUUGGUAAGGUAACGGCUUACCAAGGCAACGAUGCGUAGCCGACCUGAGAGGGUGGUCGGCCACACUGGAACUGAGACACGGUCCAGACUCCUACGGGAGGCAGCAGUAGGGAAUCUUCCGCAAUGGGCGAAAGCUUGACGGAGCAACGCCGCGUGAGUGAUGAAGGUCUUCGGAUCGUAAAACUCUGUUAUUAGGGAAGAACAAAUGUGUAAGUAACUAUGCACGUCUUGACGGUACCUAAUCAGAAAGCCACGGCUAACUACGUG
rnacentral:rRNA from 1 species